GGUAGCGAAAUUCCUUGUCGGGUAAGUUCCGACCUGCACGAAUCGUGUAACGAUCUGGGCGCUGUCUCAACGAGGAUCUCGGUGAAGUUGUAAUUCCGGUGAAGAUGCCGGAUACCCGCAGUAGGACGGAAAGACCCCGUGCACCUUUACUGUAUUCUAAUAUGGGCGCUUGAUUUGUCAUGUGUAGGAUAGCUGGGAGACUUCGAAGCCGGUUCGUCAGGAUCGGUGGAGUCGUCAGUGAAAUACCAGUCUUGUCAAGGCGAGUGUCUAACUUUAUCCCGUGAAUCCGGGAGAAGGACAGUGUUAGAGGGUCAGUUUGACUGGGGCGGUUUCCUCCCAAAGAGUAACGGAGGAGUUCGAAGGUUCCCUCAGCAUGGUCAGCAAUCAUGCGAAGAGCGCAAUGGUACAAGGGAGCUUAACUGCGAGACCGACGGGUCGAGCAGAUGCGAAAGCAGGACAUAGUGAUCCGGUGGUCGCUUGUGGUCGCGCCAUCGCUCAACGGACAAAAGGUACGCCGGGGAUAACAGGCUGAUCGCUGCCGAGAGUUCACAUCGACGCAGCGGUUUGGCACCUCGAUGUCGGCUCAUCGCAUCCUGGGGCUGAAGAAGGUCCCAAGGGUUUGGCUGUUCGCCAAUUAAAGCGGUACGUGAGCUGGGUUCAGAACGUCGUAAGACAGUUCGGUCCUUAUCCACUGUGGGCGCAGGAAAUUUGAGGAGAACAUUCCCUAGUACGAGAGGACCGGGAAUGACGUACCUCUGGUGUUCCAGUUGUUCCGCCAGGAGCAUGGCUGGGUAGCUACGUACGGAACGGAUAAGCGCUGAAAGCAUCUAAGUGCGAAGCCUCCUCCAAGACGAGAUUUCCCUUUCCGCGCAAGCGGAACUGAAGGCAGGUUGAAGACUACGACCUUGAUAGGCUGGAAGUGAACGUUCAGUGAUGGAUGAAGCUAACCAGUACUAAUCCGCCGUGAGGCUUGACCAU
rnacentral:rRNA from 1 species